GGAGUGGAGGGUGUGAGCAUGGUCAAGACACUAGAGCUGCAGUAUUAUGAGACGCAGCUGGAGCUGCGUGACUACAAGUUUGAGAUCCUGAAAAAUUAAGAACUGCUCCUGCAAACGCAAAUCCAGUCCAUCCAACGACAACUAAGAGAGCUGCAGGAGCAGGUUUUGUAAUAUGACGCCUUUGAGGACCCAGAGGAGCUGCAGGAUUUUCAGGUGAAUGUAAGUCCCGCCCAGAAACACCUACAGCAACACCUGAAGCAACUGGAGCAUCAGAGGAGCGAUUUCAUCACGCAGAGCACAACUGAGAAACCAACGGGAGAUGUGUGUUGAGGCGCACGAGCUACAGCAGCACUCAGUUGCAGUGUGAUCUGAGCAGCACCGCCAACAUCACGCCGCACAGCUGAUAUUUUGGAUGAUGGCCAUUUCAGUUAGGAUGCUGCAUCUGUAGACAGCAGAAAGAGAGAUUGCAUAUAAAGUUUGGAAAAGAAGAGUUCAUGUGACAUGAUCAAACAGUCCUGCAGGUAUGUGUGUUUGUGUGUUCAGAAGCGAGAGAAGAGGAAAGUUGAGGAUGAGAAGAGGAAGCAGUGGGUGGAUAGAGAGGGGGAGCUCAUCCAGAGAGGUAAAAAUUGUGUUGUAAAGAUGCCUUCAGUAUCGGGAUGGCAAGUAUAAGAAAUUUAACAACUCCAUUUCCAUAAUGGUUCCAUUAACACAUCUUUAAUACUAAACAAAAACAACCCUAACAACCUUUUUUUAGAUUAAAGUACCAUUUUAAUGAUGAAAGUGUUCCGAUCUAAUUACAUACUGUCAUAUGAAGUC